AUAAAAAAAUAAACUAAACUAAACAAAAUCAAAGGACUUCAAUGGUCAACAAGGCUCAUGAGCUGGUAGCACAGCAGAACACCCCCUUUAGGCCUGGCUUGACCCAGCAGCUCACAGAUAUCCCCCUUUCACGAUUUUCUUGUCUUUCCCAUUCAUGUCAGCUUCAUCACAGUGACAAAACGUGUCUUGCUGCGGCUCAGGCAAUGACCUCACAUCUCACAUCUCAGAGCCCAGACGGAGCUGGAAAACAUCUGUCCCAGAGGCCCCCGCCAGAGUUCCCUCCACUGUUCUUAACCACAGCCCACGCUCUGGCCAGGUUUCUCCUUUCAAGCCGUGCCGGUGCGGCGUCCACCCUCCCACAGCCCACAAGGCACCAGCAGCCGCCGCACACAGCGGAAGCGCCGAGCACCGAGCUCCGGACGUAAGACGGCCGGGAAGGCGACGGCGUCCAUGUGACUCGGCCUCGGCCAAUCAAUCACAGCUUGCGCUUGCCGCGACCUGGGAAGAGCGGGCCGCACGUGCUGCGCCUGCGCUCGUUCCAGCAUUUUGGUUGGACAGGCGCCGGCUGUCCCCACCCCCGAGGUGUGGUUGUCUCGGCGCCAUUUUGAGGCCCUGAAAAGGCGAAGAGGCCGGGGAAGUGCGGCGGGCGGCACAGGUGCGAGGGGACCUCCUCGAAGGGCAGUGGGCCGCAAAUAACUUCACCUGCCUUUCUGCUACUAAUUGUACUUAGUAAAUGUUUAGAUUGGGGGGGGGGUGAGCAAAGUCUCUGUAUAGCUUAGGCUGUGUAUGUAUGUAACGUGACAUUUUAACAAUAUUUAAAUCAACGCUGCUUUGAAAAAUCUAUUAUAAAAUGCAGAGCCGGGAUGGCGGGGCACUUUAAUCCCAGCACUCAGGAGGCUGAGGCAGGAGGGUGGCCACAAGUUGGAGGCCAGCCUGGGCUACAUAAAGCCUGUUUUCAAAAAAAAAAAAAAAAA